rnacentral:rRNA from 1 species
UACGUAGGGGGCAAGCGUUGUCCGGAAUCAUUGGGCGUAAAGAGCGUGUAGGCGGUCCGGUAAGUCAGCUGUGAAAGUCAAGGGCUCAACCCUUGAAUGCCGGUUGAUACUGUCGGGCUAGAGUCCGGAAGAGGCGAGUGGAAUUCCCGGUGUAGCGGUGAAAUGCGCAGAUAUCGGAAGGAACAUCAGUGGCGAAAGCGACUGCCUGGCCCAAUACUGACACUCAUGUGCGAAAGCGUGGGGAGCAAACAGG